CUAUCGCCAAUUCCCUUGAGUUGAUCAUGGCUCAGAACGAACGCUGGCGGCGUGGAUAAGACAUGCAAGUCGAGCGAGAUUUUUUCCUGUAGCAAUACAGGGAAAAGUCUAGCGGCGAACGGGUGCUUAACACGUGGGCAAUCUGCCGAGAAGUGGGGGAUAGCUCGCCGAAAGGCGAAUUAAUACCGCAUGUGAUGAGAAUGGACAUCCAUUCAAAAUCAAAGUCGGGGCAACCUGACGCUUCUUGAGGAGCCCGCGGCCUAUCAGCUAGUUGGUGAGGUAACGGCCCACCAAGGCUUAGACGGGUAGCUGGUCUGAGAGGACGACCAGCCACACUGGGACUGAGACACGGCCCAGACACCUACGGGUGGCAGCAGUCGAGAAUUUUUCUCAAUGGGGGAAACCCUGAAGGAGCGACGCCGCGUGGAGGAUGAAGGUCUUCGGAUUGUAAACUCCUGUCAUUGGGGAACAAUGCGUAAAUAUUAACUGUAUUUGCGUUGAUAGUACCCGAAGAGGAAGAGACGGCUAACUCUGUGCCAGCAGCCGCGGUAAUACAGGGGUCUCAAGCGUUGUUCGGAUUCAUUGGGCGUAAAGGGUGCGUAGGCGGCGCGGUAAGUCGGGUGUGAAAUCUCGGGGCUUAACUCCGAAACUGCAUUCGAUACUGCCGUGCUUGAGGACUGGAGAGGAGACUGGAAUUUACGGUGUAGCGGUGAAAUGCGUAGAUAUCGUAAGGAAGACCAGUGGCGAAGGCNGGUCUCUGGACAGUUCCUGACGCUGA
rnacentral:rRNA from 1 species